AUACCUUUCUCGGCCUUUUGGCUAAGAUCAAGUGUAGUAUCUGUUCUUAUCAGUUUAAUAUCUGAUACGUAGGCCAAUGGCCUACACGAUAUUAAAUUAAUUUUUUAUUGGGGAGGGCCCAUUACAGUAGCUUGCUAUUGGGGUUCUUAAGCGUCGUCCAUGCGUUGCACUACAGCAAGGGCCCGGCGCACCCACU
rnacentral:snRNA from 1 species